UACGGAAGGCAGCAGUGGGGAAUAUUGCACAAUGGGCGAAAGCCUGAUGCAGCUAUGCCGCGUGUAUGAAGAAGGCCUUAGGGUUGUAAAGUAUUUUCAUCGGGGAGGAAAAAACAAAACUAAUAAUUUUAUUUCUUGACGUUACCCGAAAAAGAAGCACCGGCUAACUCCGUGCCAGCAGCCGCGGUAAUACGGAGGGUGCUAGCGUUAAUCAGAAUUACUGGGCGUAAAGAGCACGUAGGUGGUUUUUUUAAAGUCAGAUGUGAAAUCCCUGGGCUUAACCUAGGAACUGCAUUUUGAAACUGAAAUACUAGAGUAUCGUAGAGGGAGGUAGAAUUCUAGGUGUAGCGGUGAAAUGCGUAGAUAUCUGGAGGAAUACCUGUGGCGAAAGCGGCCUCCUAAACGAAUACUGACACUGAGGGUGCGAAAGCGUGGGGAGCAAACAGGGAUUAGAUACC
rnacentral:rRNA from 1 species